UGGUAGAAGUAUCAAAGCUCCGGCGGUACAGGAUGGACCCGCGUCUGAUUAGCUAGUUGGUAAGGUAACGGCUUACCAAGGCGACGAUCAGUAGCCGACCUGAGAGGGUGAUCGGCCACAUUGGAACUGAGACACGGUCCAAACUCCUACGGGAGGCAGCAGUGGGGAAUAUUGCACAAUGGGCGAAAGCCUGAUGCAGCAACGCCGCGUGAGCGAUGAAGGCCUUCGGGUCGUAAAGCUCUGUCCUCAAGGAAGAUAAUGACGGUACUUGAGGAGGAAGCCCCGGCUAACUACGUG
rnacentral:rRNA from 1 species